CACGUAGGCACCAAGCGUUGUCCGGAUUUAUUGGGCGUAAAGAGCUCGUAGGCGGUUCAGUAAGUCGGGUGUGAAAACUCUGGGCUCAACCCAGAGACGCCACCCGAUACUGCUGUGACUUGAGUACGGUAGGGGAGUGGGGAAUUCCUGGUGUAGCGGUGAAAUGCGCAGAUAUCAGGAGGAACACCAGUGGCGAAGGCGCCACUCUGCGCCGUAACUGACGCUGAGGAGCGAAAGCGUGGUUAGCAAACAGG
rnacentral:rRNA from 1 species